UACGUAGGGUGCAAGCGUUAAUCGGAAUUACUGGGCGUAAAGCGUGCGCAGGCGGUUGUGCAAGACAGAUGUGAAAUCCCCGGGCUCAACCUGGGAACUGCAUUUGUGACUGCACGGCUGGAGUGCGGCAGAGGGGAUGGAAUUCCGCGUGUAGCAGUGAAAUGCGUAGAUAUGCGGAGGAACACCGAUGGCGAAGGCAAUCCCCUGGGCCUGCACUGACGCUCAUGCACGAAAGCGUGGGAGCAAACAGG
rnacentral:rRNA from 1 species